rnacentral:misc_RNA from 1 species
GAUGAAGAACGUAGCGAAAUGCGAUAAGUAAUGUGAAUUGCAGAAUUCAGUGAAUCAUCGAAUCUUUGAACGCACAUUGCGCCCCCUGGUAUUCCGGGGGGCAUGCCUGUUCGAGCCUCAUUUCACCACUCAAGCCUCGCUUGGUAUUGGGCAACGCGGUCCGCCGCGUGCCUCAAAUCGACCGGCUGGGUCUUCUGUCCCCUAAGCGUUGUGGAAACUAUUCGCUAAAGGGUGUUCGGGAGGCUACGCCGUAAAACAACCCCAUUUCUAAGGUUGACCUCGGAUCAGGUAGGGAUACCCGCUGAACUUAAGCAUAUCAAUAAGCGGAGGA